UCGGGAGUUAUCACCAUGCUUGAGUGUGCAGACGGACUGGCCGACUGGGACUUAAUCUGCUCUGCUACACAGGGGCAUGAUGGCAGCAGGCUAUUUCAAGGUGGAGGUUAGCAAAAGGCCACAAACUGGAAAGAGGACUGACAGGCCGGCUGCUGUUUGUGAGCUGGCAUCGAUCUGAGCAGGCUGUUCAACUGAAGCUGGGCUUUAUGAAUCGACUCCCUCAACAUCCAAAGACGAGGAAAACGGAGAGACACAACAAUGGCCUGAUCCUGCCAGUGCAAUCACCUCAUUCCCCUCACCUGGGCUUCCCCAGUCAGCCGCCCCUGCCGAUGCCCACCCAGACCUCCAGUCCAGUCUCCCCUUCAGUGUACCCGUCAUCACGGUCUUUGUCCAAAGCCCCCGGCUCGAAUCACCCCCAAAGCGGUCCUGUGUAAGGCGCUGACCUCCAGAUCGGCU